UACGUAGGGUGCGAGCGUUAAUCGGAAUUACUGGGCGUAAAGCGUGCGUAGGCGGUUCGUUAAGUUCGUUGUGAAAGCCCCGGGCUCAACCUGGGAAUGGCAAUGGAAACUGGCGGGCUUGAGUAUGGCAGAGGGGGGUGGAAUUCCGCGUGUAGCAGUGAAAUGCGUAGAGAUGCGGAGGAACACCGAUGGCGAAGGCAGCCCCCUGGGUUGACACUGACGCUCAGGCACGAAAGCGUGGGGAGCAAACAGG
rnacentral:rRNA from 1 species